ACAACUUUAGCUUAGUUGGUAGAGCGGAGGACUGUAGUGGGAUACAGAAUCCUGAUUGUUAUUCUUAGGUAGUUGGUUCGAAUCCGGCAAGUCGGA
rnacentral:tRNA from 1 species